rnacentral:tRNA from 1 species
AGAAACUUAAGUUAAAUUAAACCAAAGACCUUCAAAGUCUUGAAUAGGCGGCAAAUUCCUCCUAGUUUCUG